UAGAGCCGUGAACCUCAACCUCUUGGACGCCUGGCUGGAAGUCGGCAGCCUUGCUUCCUGUGACCUUGGGGCUCAAACAGGACAGAGCCCAGGGGGCCCAGUGCACAACCGCCUUCAAGCCUUUACCUUUUUUCUUCAUUGCUCCUCCUCUGUCGCUUCUUCCCCGCCCCCCACUGCCCGAAACUGCUUCCUGGGCCGGAACUGUUUGGCUUUUUCCUGCCCCAAUUAGGGCUGUGGGUGGGGGUAGGGAGGUUGGCGUGGCCUUUAACUUUCUGGGGACAUGGAGCCCAGGAAGGCGGUACCUGGGGUGCACAGCUGCGGGCCUCGGGUGGCCGCGGGGUCAGGGACGGCGGCGGAGCUCGUGUACCAUCUAGCGGGGGCCCUGGGCACGGAGCUGAAGGAGCUGGCGCGCCGCUUCGGGCCGGAGGCGGCGGCCGGGCUGGUGCCGCUGGUGGUGCGGGCGCUGGAGCUCCUGGAAAAGGCCGCCGUAGGGCCGGACCCAGACUCACUGCAGGUGUCAGCGCAGCAGGCCGAAGUGGAGCUGCGGCGGCUGCGGGAGGAGAACGAGCGCCUCCGCAGAGAGCUGCGCUCCGGCCCACAGGAGGAGCGGGCUCUCCUGAGGCAGCUCAAGGAGGUGACCGACCGCCAGCGGGACGAGCUCCGGGCGCACAACCGAGAUCUGCUCCAACGCAGCCAGGAGACCGAGGCGCUGCAGGAGCAGCUGCAGCGCCUCCUGCUGGUGAACGCGGAGCUGCGCCACAAGCUGGCAGCGGUGCAGACCCAGCUGCGCUCCGCGAGGGACCGCGAGGGAGAGCGGGAGCUACCGCACCAGGGGGCGGUGGAGCCGGCGCGGGACCGUGCCGGGGGGGCCGGGGACGCACAGAGGCGGAGGUCCGAGCGGGCAACCGCCGACGCUGGAGCUCCGGGGACCCCUGAGGACCAGGCGGCUGCCCUGCAGCAGCCAGGGCGCCCUUCCGAGGCAGGACAGUGCAGCUUCAGUCGAGAGGAGCUCGAGCAGAUCCUUCAGGAGCGGAAUGAGCUCAAAGCCAACGUGUUCCUGCUGAAGGAGGAGUUGGCCUACUUCCAGCGGGAGCUACUCACAGAUCACCGGGUCCCUGGGCUUCUCCUUGAAGCCAUGAAGGUGGCUGUCAAGAAGCAGCGGAAGAAGAUCAAGGCCAAGAUGUUAGGGAUCCCAGAGGAAGCAGAGAGCAGGGCCUUGAUGAACAAUCCCCACAUCUCCUCUCUUCUCUUCUCUUCUCUGCCUCAGUGAAGAUGAAGACAGCUCAUGGCUCCUGCCGUCUGGCAAUAAGGGGGCCCACCCUCCACCCACUGAAUCCAGAAUCCAGCGUUUCUUUGGCCUGUCCUAUCAGGGUGAAACAGAGGCCCCUGAAGCCCAGACCAGCACGGUGCCCAGUGAGCUAAGGGGAGAAGAGGAGGCUCUACAGGAACUCCAUAUGCGGCCUGUGGGCAGCUCUACAGUCCUCAAUUCCUGACUGGCUCUGCUCUGCACUUGAUGAACAGCUUUCUCUGGGGGUCUCAGCAGCCCCAGAGACCUGACUUUGGAAUCUGGCUAUGGGUGGAUGUGUGGCCUCAAAUGAAGACAGGGCUCCUUCCUUCUCAGCCUUCCCCAGGCUCUUUCCCAGUUCUGGCCUGAGCCAGGGCAUGAUGAAGAGCUCAGCCUUCCCUGUAUCUCUGUGCCAAGCCUCAGGGGCCAGAUAAAAGUGCUUCCUCUUGGAAUCUCAGUUUUCUUAUCCAUAAAAUAGAGCUACCUACCUCCCAAGGGUGUGUGAGCAUGACCUGAGCUAAUAUAAUAAAGUAGCUGCCCAUGAUACCCAGAAA